UUUUAUGGUGGGCUGUAUGCGGGGCGCCUUCGGGUGCGCCGGGUGCCUGACAUCCCGGUUGGCCAACCCGCGCACCGCUCACCACCUCC
rnacentral:antisense_RNA from 1 species